UACGUAGGUGGCAAGCGUUGUCCGGAUUUACUGGGCGUAAAGGGAGCGUAGGCGGACUUUAAAGUGGGAUGUGAAAUACUCAGGCUCAACCUGGGGGCUGCAUUCCAAACUGGAAGUCUAGAGUGCAGGAGAGGAGAGUGGAAUUCCUAGUGUAGCGGUGAAAUGCGUAGAGAUUAGGAAGAACACCAGUGGCGAAGGCGACUCUCUGGACUGUAACUGACGCUGAGGCUCGAAAGCGUGGGGAGCAAACAGG
rnacentral:rRNA from 1 species